AUUGGUCUUUUGGGACAGAUCAGUGACACACCACGAUCCACGAGUGCGUUAUCACCAUGGGAUGAAGAAUUCACCAAUGCUCAGAUAAGGCACCUCCUAUCAGAACAAAAGGAAUUCUCUGGAUCUUGCUAAAAGUCUCGUGGGCGGCACAGAACAGGCACUGAGCUUAGCAGCGCUACGAGAAGCGUGAGAUAAGGCACACGCAGCUCCCGUACCUGAGAUACCAACACUAUGCCACCCAGUUUUUGGACCUGAGAACAUCCUUUGAACCUGCCGCUGGUGUGGCUGAGCUGCUGUGACUUUGACCUUUCACCUCAGGGCAGAGUUGGUUUCAGAUGAGAAUCAUCUAUUCCGUGAGUUCAGCAUGAACAAUUGCCACCCUUAGCAAACAGAGAGAUGUUGAUAUCUAUGCAGAGCCGAAUUCUAGGCGGGUUUAGUACAACCAAAUUAUCACAUUUGUUCACCUUCAUAGCUUUAGUGCCCUGAAAGAUCCUCUUCAUACACCUGACCAGGACUUUGGAACAAGUAAUGUUGAGACAGCCCUGAAGAAUCCAUCCUGGUUUUAUAUAAGACCCACUUUAUGCAGGGACAGGAUA